AGCAGGUGGCGCUCAACACACAAACCUUCAUUCUGGAUCUGCAGAGCAAGACAAAAAAAAAAAAAAGACUGGCGAUGAAAACAAAAUAGCGGAUGAAAAAUAUCUUUAAACAUUUUUAGACCUAAAACAAAUGCAUCUUUAGAGACCCGGACGUUGUCUUUAUCGAUUUGAAUUUGGGGAUAACUGUGAAUACGCGGAGCUAGCCUCUUCCUGUUUUAGAACAGCGGCGUUUGUUAUUUCUAAUCAGUUAGCUAGCUUAGCAGUUAGCUUAAAUUAAAUCGAAUUUAUUUUAUUUUUGGAUCAAAAUUACGUUUGAGUUUUUUUCCGCUAUCAUUUCCACUCAAACUAGCGUUCGAACUUCUCAAUAAGACAUCAAGAUGUCUGAAGAUUAUGAAUUUAGCGAAGACCCAAGUAUGAUGAGGAUGGAGGAGGAUGGAGAGGCUAACAAUGACGACCCGAUGUCAGCUCAGGGGGAUGGCGGCCUGAUGGGGGACGAGGCCGAGGGAUCGAGGAUCGACGCCAGCAAAAACGAGGAGGAUGAAGGGAAGAUGUUUGUUGGAGGCCUGAGCUGGGACACCACCAAGAAAGACCUGAAGGAUUACUUUGCAAAGUUUGGGGAGGUUGUGGACUGCACGUUAAAGCUGGACCCCAUGACCGGACGCUCCAGGGGUUUCGGCUUUGUGCUCUUCAAAGAGGCUGAAAGUGUUGAAAAGGUGGCGUCACAGAAAGAACAUAAACUAAACGGAAAAGUGAUCGACCCUAAAAAAGCCAAAGCCAUGAAGAGCAAGGAGCCGGUGAAGAAAGUCUUCGUUGGUGGUUUGUCUCCAGACACCCCAGAGGAGAAGGUCCGAGAGUACUUCGGUGCCUUUGGAGAGGUGGAGUCGAUCGAGCUCCCCAUGGAGAACAAAACCAACAAACGGAGGGGCUUCUGCUUCAUCACAUUCAAAGAAGAAGAUGCAGUGAAGAAGGUCAUGGAGAAGAAGUACCACAACAUCGGCCUCAGCAAGUGUGAAGUGAAGGUGGCGCUGUCGAAGGAGCAGUACCAGCAGCAGCAGUACUGGGGAGGCAGAGGAGGAUACUCAUCCCGGUCCCGAGGAAGAGGCGGUGGCCCCAACCAAAACUGGAACCAGGGUUACAGCAACUACUGGAACCCUGGCUACGGCAAUUACGGUAACUACGGUUACGGCAAUCAGGGCUACGGCGGCUACGGCGGCUACGAUUACUCUGGAUACAACAACUACUACGGCUACGGUGAGGAGUUCUGCCCGCGCCGCGUCCCUCAGGAAAGACGCUCUAACGCCGGCCUCGCCGUCCCUCUUUCAGAUCAGUCUGGCGGAUACGGGAAGUCGCCACGGCGUGGCGGCCAUGCCAACAGUUACAAACCGUAUUAAAGAGGCAAACCCUCGCCGUCAAGUAGCGGAGCUUCCUUGCAGGCCAUGAGCUGACUCCCAGAUACUCUCAGGGCCCGCUCAAUGCGGACCGGGUACGAGAAGCAUACGCUCUCGAAUGCUGCCAUUUGGUUUGAGUGAUGAAAGUCUGCCGAGUGCUGGAGGAGCGUUGACCAGAGCCACGAUCCAGCAGCAGUCAUUACGUAGAGAUAGACCGUCUAAAAACAAAAACAGAGGCCUACAUUUCCUCUAUAUUUACAUAAAUAUUUCAGUGUUCUGCAUUUGUUUAGAUGGCUUUAAAGUUUUAGCAUUUCUUUGUUCCUCCUUUUCUGUUAAGUUCUCAACUGUUGCUUCAUUUCGUCCGUUACUAAAGUGUAUUGUUGGUUGCUACAAAUCACACAAACAGAACAUGUGUACGCGAAGUUUCAGCAUUUUUUUUUCUUUUAUCAUCUGUCAUAUAAUACAUGUUAUUACAGAAUUUGACAAGAACUUACACUAUAUAUACACGGUGUAUUGGACAUUAAAAAGGCAUCAAUAAAAACAUUCUAAACACUUUG